rnacentral:rRNA from 1 species
GUACUGUGCAAACGUUAUUCGGAAUCACUGGGCUUAAAGGGUGCGUAGGCGGUUGAUUAAGUAGGGUGUGAAAGCUCUCGGCCUAACCGAGGAAUUGCGCUCUAAACUGAUCAGCUUGAGUGAGAUAGGGGUGUGCGGAACUUCCAGUGGAGCGGUGAAAUGUGUUGAUAUUGGAAGGAACGCCGGUGGCGAAAGCGGCACACUGGGUCUCAACUGACGCUGAGGCACGAAAGCCAGGGUAGCGAACGGGGGAUUAGAUACCCCGGUAGUCCUGGCUGUAAACGAUGAGCACUAGACGGGAGGAGCUUCGGCUCAUCCGGUCGCAGCGAAAGCAAUAAGUGCUCCGCCUGGGAGUAUGGUCGCAAGGCUG